CGGAGCGCAACUUUCACGGAGCGGCCACGGGCGGAAUUGCUCGGCGGAGCGGACAACAAAUGACCGAUGGUGCCCAGGACGCGUGUAUAGAAAUCGGAUGAACAGAGGGGGUUGGUCGGUCGGCCGGUCGAUCGAAUCGACGUUCGUCAUGCGAUCGCGCGCGCGUUGCUGCGUUCAGCGUUCACGGACGUGUUGGAAACGUGACCGCGCGAGGAGGUCUCUUCGCGUUGGCGCUGCACUGGCGGGAGAGAUUUUCCUCCGAGGCGAUUUCUAACGUCGGACGUAUAAAUGCAUGUACAGACGGCGGCGACGCGAGAGAUCGUUCCCCACUUUGCAUAACGGUGCCGGCGCGACACUUUCCGCCGGUUUCCAAGCGAACACGGAAAUCUGAUUGAAGGACCCGUUGCCAUCGCGAUGGAUUUCGUGCAUGUUAUAGUCUGCAUUCAGCUAAAUUUUUGGAUACCUCGGCCAGCCGUUCUUUCCGUGUACGAAUUCGGAGUUUCGUUUAUUUUGUGACGCUGAAAUAUAAAAUUACUCGAUGUCAGAAGCAUAAGAAAGAUAAGAGGAUAUUAAAGAAACGUACGCUAACGAUAACGCACAAAAUACUACCUAGUGCUAUCAUACAAAGUAGUUUCAUUUCGCGAAGAGGUUCAAUAAGCCAGUUCGAUUACACUGGCGAUAAUAGUAAAGACGAAACGAAAAGUCCUGCAAGGAAGAUACGGGAUUAUCGUAUAGCUGGACGUCACUCGGAACGAGUCAUCACGGGGACAAUGACCAAGGAGCCGAGGAAAAGAAAAAGUAAGAGAAAAAGCAAUAUGCGUUUCAGUAAGUUCUUUGAAAUAAAAUAUUUAAUAAGAACGCGAGGACUGUCGUUAUGAAACGCGACAGGCAAAAAAUAAGACUCGGAGCAUACGCAGAUAAAAGCACAGAUGAGUACAUGUACACCGUGCAAAAGAAAAUUUGCGACACCCAUUACUUGUUACGCGCGUUAUCAACCGAAUGCUUAUAAAGAACAGGUUUUAAGGUAAGGGCGAAGGUAAAAAAAAAAAGAUUUCAGGUUUGUGCCCAAAUGGAUUACCCGAGAUUAUUCCACGGAAGGAGCAAUCAAAAAUCCGAAAGAUUUUUUUUUUUUUUUUUUUUUUUUUUUUAAGAAAAGGGAGGUAAAAAA